UACGGAGGGUGCGAGCGUUGUCCGGAAUCAUUGGGCGUAAAGCGUGCGUAGGCGGCUGCGCAAGUCGGUUGUGAAACCCCGGGGCUCAACCCCGGAACUGCAUCCGAUACUGCGUGGCUAGAGGUAGGUAGGGGAGAUCGGAAUUCCUGGUGUAGCGGUGAAAUGCGCAGAUAUCAGGAGGAACACCGGUGGCGAAGGCGGAUCUCUGGGCCUUACCUGACGCUCAGGCACGAAAGCUAGGGGAGCGAACAGG
rnacentral:rRNA from 1 species